AGGAGCAAAAGGAGAAAUCCGCCCAAGGAGGGGCUCGCGUCUGAUUAGCUAGUUGGUGAGGUAAUAGCUUACCAAGGCGAUGAUCAGUAGCUGGUCCGAGAGGAUGAUCAGCCACACUGGGACUGAGACACAGCCCAGACACCUACGGGAGGCAGUAGUGGGGAAUUUUCCGCAAUGGGCGAAAGCCUGACGGAGCAAUGCCGCGUGGAGGUGGAAGGCCUACGGGUCGUCAACUUCUUUUCUCGGAGAAGAAACAAUGACGGUAUCUGAGGAAUAAGCAUCGGCUAACUCUGUGCCAGCAGCCGCGGUAAGAAAGAGGAUGCAAGCGUUAUCCGGAAUGAUUGGGCGUAAAGCGUCUGUAGGUGGCUUUUCAAGUCCGCCGUCAAAUCCCAGGGCUCAACCCUGGACAGGCGGUGGAAACUACCAAGCUGGAGUACGGUAGGGGCAGAGGGAAUUUCCGGUGGAGCGGUGAAAUGCAUUGAGAUCU
rnacentral:rRNA from 1 species